rnacentral:rRNA from 1 species
UACGUAGGGACCAAGCGUUGUUCGGAUUUACUGGGCGUAAAGGGCGCGUAGGCGGCCCCACAAGUCACUUGUGAAAUCUCCGGGCUUAACUCGGAACGGCCAAGUGAAACUGUGGAGCUAGAGUGUGGAAGGGGCAAUCGGAAUUCCUGGUGUAGCGGUGAAAUGCGUAGAUAUCAGGAGGAAUACCGGUGGCGAAAGCGACUCUCUGGACGGCAACUGACGCUGAGGCACGAAAGCGUGGGGAGCAAACAGG